rnacentral:rRNA from 1 species
UACGAGGGGGGCAAGCGUUGUUCGGAAUUAUUGGGCGUAAAGGGUGCGUAGGCGGUUUGGUAAGUCUGAUGUGAAAUCUAUGGGCUCAACUCAUAGUCUGCAUCGGAAACUGCCGGGCUUGAGUGUGGGAGAGGUGAGUGGAAUUCCUGGUGUAGCGGUGAAAUGCGCAGAUAUCAGGAGGAACACCAAUGGCGAAGGCAGCACUCUGGGACGUGACU